GCCCAGACUCCUACGGGAGGCAGCAGUGGGGAAUAUUGGGCAAUGGGCGCAAGCCUGACCCAGCAACGCCGCGUGAAGGAAGAAGGCUUUCGGGUUGUAAACUUCUUUUCUUGGGGACGAAGAAAGUGACGGUACCCAAGGAAUAAGCCACGGCUAACUACGUGCCAGCAGCCGCGGUAAUACGUAGGUGGCAAGCGUUAUCCGGAUUUAUUGGGUGUAAAGGGCGUGUAGGCGGGAAUGCAAGUCAGAUGUGAAAACUAUGGGCUCAACCCAUAGCCUGCAUUUGAAACUGUAUUGCUGGAGGGCUGGAGAGGCAAGCGGAAUUCCGUGGGGAGCGGUGAAAUGCGUAGAUAUACGGAGGAACACCAGUGGCGAAGGCGGAUUGCUGGACAGUAACUGACGUUGAGGCACGAAAGUGUGGGGAGCAAACAGGAUUAGAUACCCUCGUAU
rnacentral:rRNA from 1 species